UUUCUGGUGUUGUUGCUCUCCAAUUUUGCUGCUGUGGCCCAGUGGGCUCUGUUGCUCCCAGGUCUGUGGAGGCUCCUGUUGAUCUGGACUCUUGGCUGAGCGUGACUGCCCAGUGUGGUGUGUUUGCCUUGCCUGGGUGCCCUGCUGGCCCUGGGAUCUCYCCUAGUCUGCAGGGAGCUGUACCCUGAUGUUAGGAUGGAAAAACAGCUAUAGUGCUACCUGCUAAAUAGUCUCAAGGAGCGAGCUGCUGCUGGAUGGGAAAGGAAGAACCUGCAGGAAAGGUGACUCCAGGUGGUGAAAGGAAAAAGAGCAGCUCUCCUGGCAACGUGGGACAAGAAGCCCCUGCGGAGCAGCUUGGCUGUGUGUCCUGCGGCAUGUUUUGCAGCGUUGUUCACCUCAAGGAGAURCUAGGAGAGGAGAACUGAAGAAUACUGCUGCUCUGCCGUUUGUGCUGUGGGGAAAUUUUCAUCAAAGAGUGAGUUGCAGAUACUGAUCCCCCAAAACAGCAUCACUAUGAGCAGUGCUAUUAGCACACCUCUGAAGAAGGUGAACCACGUUGAGUUGCAAGAGCUAGCAUCUGUGGUGGUGGAAAAAGAAGCUUUCUACCUGUCAUCAAU